UGCGUAGGCGGGCUAGUAAGUCAGUGGUGAAAUCCCUCAGCUUAACUGAGGAACUGCCAUUGAUACUGUUAGUCUUGAGUAUAGUAGAGGUGGGCGGAAUGUGUCAUGUAGCGGUGAAAUGCAUAGAUAUGACACAGAACACCGAUUGCGUAGGCAGCUCACUAAACUAUCACUGACGCUGAUGCACGAAAGCGUGGGUAGCGAACAGGAUUAGAUACCCUGGUAGUCC
rnacentral:rRNA from 1 species